UCUUGAUACAAAUACACCGAAACCGGUGUUACUAUGACACCAAAAAAAAGGGUUAUUUUAACACCUUUCCAGAUGUUAAUUUGACACCGUACAAAGUGGUGUUAAAAUAGCAAAAAAGGGUGUUAUUUUCUACCUUUUUAUUUCACACCAUUUUUGGUGUUAUUUCCUUCAAAUUAACAGUGUACAUUACAUAAUCAACAAUUUUGAAAAUGUAUACUAUUGUUUAGGCUAGCUUACGAUUGUUUUGUAUUUAGUUAAAAUUACAUAACGUGCAAAAUUUUUCUGGAAACUAGGAUAUAUAUUCUUAUGUGGUUGCUAAAAUUGCCAACGCAUCGCUUUUGAUAGAGACAGUGGUGGUCCUAUUGUUGAUAUGUUCCUAUGGUAGUAUUUCCGUGGUUGGUGGUCCCGUGGUUGGUGGUGCUUCACAACCUUCAAGGUCGUGAGCGGACAUAAACGGAUACGUCUGCUCCAAACCCAGACACCCCAAAGACGUUGGUGUAAUAUCCCUGAUAGCUGCCUGCGAAGUCAGAAACAUGUAGUCCUAUCCCCAAAGCAUAUAUCGCAUCAGGGCAACCUAUAUAAAAGAUAAUGAUAAUUAACAAUAAAAAUCAGUAAAAGAGGCCAUAAAGUGUACUCUUAUUUCUAUUCGAAAUAUUUAGAAUCGUGCUUUGUAC